rnacentral:rRNA from 1 species
GAUGAACGCUGGCGGCGUGCCUAAUACAUGCAAGUCGAGCGAACGGACGAGAAGCUUGCUUCUCUGAUGUUAGCGGCGGACGGGUGAGUAACACGUGGAUAACCUACCUAUAAGACUGGGAUAACUUCGGGAAACCGGAGCUAAUACCGGAUAAUAUUUUGAACCGCAUGGUUCAAAAGUGAAAGACGGUCUUGCUGUCACUUAUAGAUGGAUCCGCGCUGCAUUAGCUAGUUGGUAAGGUAACGGCUUACCAAGGCAACGAUGCAUAGCCGACCUGAGAGGGUGAUCGGCCACACUGGAACUGAGACACGGUCCAGACUCCUACGGGAGGCAGCAGUAGGGAAUCUUCCGCAAUGGGCGAAAACCUGACGGAGCAACGCCGCGUGAGUGAUGAAGGUCUUCGGAUCGUAAAACUCUGUUAUUAGGGAAGAACAUAUGUGUAAGUAACUGUGCACAUCUUGACGGUACCUAAUCAGAAAGCCACGGCUAACUACGUGCCAGCAGCCGCGGUAAUACGUAGGUGGCAAGCGUUAUCCGGAAUUAUUGGGCGUAAAGCGCGCGUAGGCGGUUUUUUAAGUCUGAUGUGAAAGCCCACGGCUCAACCGUGGAGGGUCAUUGGAAACUGGAAAACUUGAGUGCAGAAGAGGAAAGUGGAAUUCCAUGUGUAGCGGUGAAAUGCGCAGAGAUAUGGAGGAACACCAGUGGCGAAGGCGACUUUCUGGUCUGUAACUGACGCUGAUGUGCGAAAGCGUGGGGAUCAAACAGGAUUAGAUACCCUGGUAGUCCACGCCGUAAACGAUGAGUGCUAAGUGUUAGGGGGUUUCCGCCCCUUAGUGCUGCAGCUAACGCAUUAAGCACUCCGCCUGGGGAGUACGACCGCAAGGUUGAAACUCAAAGGAAUUGACGGGGACCCGCACAAGCGGUGGAGCAUGUGGUUUAAUUCGAAGCAACGCGAAGAACCUUACCAAAUCUUGACAUCCUUUGACAACUCUAGAGAUAGAGCUUUCCCCUUCGGGGGACAAAGUGACAGGUGGUGCAUGGUUGUCGUCAGCUCGUGUCGUGAGAUGUUGGGUUAAGUCCCGCAACGAGCGCAACCCUUAAGCUUAGUUGCCAUCAUUAAGUUGGGCACUCUAAGUUGACUGCCGGUGACAAACCGGAGGAAGGUGGGGAUGACGUCAAAUCAUCAUGCCCCUUAUGAUUUGGGCUACACACGUGCUACAAUGGACAAUACAAAGGGCAGCGAAACCGCGAGGUCAAGCAAAUCCCAUAAAGUUGUUCUCAGUUCGGAUUGUAGUCUGCAACUCGACUACAUGAAGCUGGAAUCGCUAGUAAUCGUAGAUCAGCAUGCUACGGUGAAUACGUUCCCGGGUCU